GACGAACGCUGGCGGCGCGCCUAAUACAUGCAAGUCGAACGGAGAAAAGAGAGGUUGGUUCUUCGUGAGUGUGGCGCGAACGGGUGAGUCACGCGGGUGUAACCCGCGCUGGAGGGGGGUACAACUGGUGGACGCUAGUGAAAAUAGCACAUAAGCAGACGGAGCCGGAUGUAUCUGUGAGAGAAGGAUCUAUUCCCCUAAGGGUUGAAUCGGCGCCGAUUUAGCAGUUGGGGAGGUAACGGCCCACCAAGGGCACGAAUGGUUGCCGGACUGGGAGGGUGACCGGCCACAUUGGGACUGAGACACGGCCCAGACUCCUACGGGAGGCAGCAGUGGGGGAUAUUGCACAAUGGGGGAGACACUGAUGCAGCGACGCCGCGUGGAGGAAGAAGGUUUUCGGAUUGUAAACUCCUGUCGUAAGGGACGAUAAUGACGGUACCUAACAAGAAAGCACCGGCUAACUACGUG
rnacentral:rRNA from 1 species